CCUACGGGUGGCAGCAGUGGGGAAUAUUGCACAAUGGGGGAAACUCUGAUGCAGCGACGCCGCGUGAGUGAAGAAGUAAUUCGUUAUGUAAAGCUCUAUCAGUAGGGAAGAGCAGUAGACGGUACCUGUCGAAUAAGCCACGGCUAACUACGUGCCAGCAGCCGCGGUAAUACGGAGGUGGCAAGCGUUGUCCGGAUUUACUGGGUGUAAAGGGCGUGUAGCCGGGCUGACAAGUCAGAUGUGAAAUCCGGGGGCUCAACCCCCGAACUGCAUUUGAAACUGUUGGUCUUGAGUAUCGGAGAGGCGGGCGGAAUUCCUAGUGUAGCGGUGAAAUGCGUAGAUAUUAGGAGGAACACCAGUGGCGAAGGCAGCCUGCUGGACGGCAACUGACGGUGAGGCGCGAAAGCGUGGGGAGCAAACAGGAUUAGAUACCCUUGUAGUC
rnacentral:rRNA from 1 species